CCUGGCUCAGGAUGAACGCUGGCGGCGUGCCUAAUACAUGCAAGUAGAACGCUGAAGCUUGGUGCUUGCACCGAGCGGAAGAGUUGCGAACGGGUGAGUAACGCGUAGGUAACCUGCCUCUUAGCGGGGGAUAACUAUUGGAAACGAUAGCUAAUACCGCAUAAAAGUCGGCAUUGCAUGAUGUUGACUUGAAAGGUGCAACUGCAUCACUACCAGAUGGACCUGCGUUGUAUUAGCUAGUUGGUGAGGUAACGGCUCACCAAGGCAACGAUACAUAGCCGACCUGAGAGGGUGAUCGGCCACACUGGGACUGAGACACGGCCCAGACUCCUACGG
rnacentral:rRNA from 1 species